CGCCCCCUUCACGACCGCCCCAAAACCCACCCUAGGAGCCGGGCGCGGGGAGGAGGACGGGAGACAGUGCCCCGCCGGGGAGUCCCACCCCACGGCGGCACCGGGGGAGGGGACUGUGGGUGCGGGGAAAGCAGCUGUCAGCGCCUGCCCCUCGGCCCCGCACCCCCUCUUUCCAUCGCCCCCCUCCCCUGUCCGCAUCUCUUCUUAUACCUUCCUCUCCCUAUAGUCCCUCCUCCGGCACCCCCCGGCCCCCAUGCCUCCCUCCCCUUCGGCGCACAGACGCUGCCAGCUCCAGACCCCGCUUCUCUGCUGGGAGAUGCCCGGCCACUCCCUCCCGGCCCCGCCGCGCACCGCCCGGGCUGGCCCCGGCGUCGGGGGGCUGCGCCCGCGGCCGCUCGGCGGGUGGGGCGGGAGGAAAGAGAGAGAGCCGAGGAGGACGGCAGCAAAGAAGAAGAAGGAAGGGAAAAGGGACAGAUGCAAGUUGCUGUUGCAAAAAGAAAAGCUUACAGUAGAAACUCAUCAGAUACUUGGCAAGCUGGUACCUACAGGACUGUUGGAAAUACGUUUCACUUCCCAGUGAGAUGCAAGACAAUUAAAUACACAUGUCCAUUUUAAGAAUAAAACCCAGAAGCCAAGACCUCAAAAGAGCCUCUGCCUCUCUUCUCACCUGUAAGAGAUGUACACUUCAUUUCCAACACAGUUUGUCACCCAUCUUUCAGCAUGAAAAUCCUGCCCGAGGAGUGAGCUCCAUCUGUGCUGCUUCUGUGCUAGUACCAGCGUUUGGAUGAGGGAUUCCCACAUCUCCAUCGCUUGGAACACCUGCUGAAGUCUCAGCCUUCCUGUGUCACGCCUUCAGCCUGUGAGCUGCCCAGCAGAAGAGGGCUGCUGCUGCCUCUGGAUCUCCUCACGCCCUGGUUUCCUAUCUCCCUUCUCAUCCGGGAAGAGGGGAGACGCUCGCCGUUAGCAGCAACCUCGGCUUGCUCAUGAUGCUGGUAAUGGUGACAAGUCACGGAGGAAGAUCACUCAAUUAAAUCUCUCAUGAGCUAAACCCUAGCCUAGGAGGAAAACAGAACAUCUUAAUCCUUCCCCAUCUUCGAUUCACCCAUUCAGUGCUACAGGUGUGCCAUUUCUUUCAGCUAUUUGUUUCAGCUUCCUCACCCUGUCUCCCAAGUCUAUCUUACCAGGGGGGUCAGCAUCCUGCCUGGUUCUAAUGCUGCUUUAAGUGCAGGUCAAAGUUUCCCCUCUCCCCCUUUUGUAGCCCUGAAGUGGUACUUAUUUUUCCAAGCAACGUUCAAAGCUGUGGUGACUUCAGCAAAAUCAGAGGGUCAGACUGAAAGCCAUGGAUCAGACACGUACAGAGACUUUGCUAUAUGGCAGCACCUGAAACUGAGGCUGUGUCAUCCGUAGCCUUACCUCUGUUGUACAAGCACUACAUCACAUCAGCUGGCAUUGAAAGGACACGUUCCUUACUGCUGUGCUCUGCCCAGCCUGGGCUCAUCCAGCUUGACAGAGCAGGAGCUGUUCACAAACACCACUUUGUGUGCAGUUCAGCUCCUUCUCCAGCCAUGCUUUCCCAGCAGUCAGCCAUAAAACAAAUGUCAGUCAUUAGCUGGCCAUAAUGAAGGUUCAAUUUAGCAUCUGCCUAGAAAGAAAGAAAGAAGAUGGGAGAGGAAAAAAGCUUUAUGGUUAAUAUAGUAAGAGUGGAGAAGAUGGCAGUGAUCACAUGCACAUCUAUCUUCAUGAUUAUCUGUUUUAUGGGCUAGAGAAGUCUUCUAGUAGUGGAGGGAGGCAGUGCAUCCCUAGAAUUCACAAGUAUUUUCUCUGGUUUAGGAAAUUUACUCUCCUAGGUGUUGGGCAUAGACCUUCCUAAGGAUCCCUUCCACACAAGAAAGCAUGCAGUAAACAUGCCACACAGGAACGUGCAUGCAUCGGCCCCAGGAGUCUCUCUGCUUCUGUUCCUUUUAUGUUGCUGUGCAUUAUAGAAUCAUAGAAUCAGUCAGGGUUGGAAGGGACCACAAGGAUCAUCUAGUUCCAACCCCCCUGCCAUGGCCAGGGACACCCUAUCCUAGAUCAGGCUGGCCUUAUCUUAACACCAUUUCUUUGCAUGUAUUAAACACCUUGAUAUAAAGAAGCGGAACUGAUGGAUGCUGUAUAGAAGGACAUAUAACUGACACAGCCCAUUGCUCCCAGUUCUGCUCUGCUAAAUGACUCUGCAUUCAGAAGGGCAGUGAAGGUGGUCUGUGUAUCAGCCUGAGCUUUAACAUCUCUAUUGCUAUUAGCAUUUUACUAAAGGUCAAGAAUUCUCCAUCCAGUCACUAAGAAGAUCACACACAUGUGGCAUGGGUCUGGUGAGGCUUGACACUGCAAGUCCUUGCAGAGAUACCUGUAAUUUGGGAAGGGAUUUUAUUAUCAUUGCACACAGGAACUCAUUGGAUGGCAAUGGAGGCAUCACACUUGCAAGCAGGAGAGCCAGAUGGGAGUCACUCUACUCUUCACCCUUCAGUGGCUGAUCAGGUCUUCCCAGUUCAGUCGUGCUGAGCUGGGCUGCAGCCUUUCCAGUGCAUGUUCAUCGGUUCCUGUGCCUCAUCGUGGUUUGAAGCGAAAGAGUACCUGCCAGUGAGAACAAACAGUAUUUCUUGCACAGACUCUUUUCCUCCAGGAGAUGCUGUUAAUAAACGUUGAGGCUGGA